UAAUAAGUGUUCUAUGGCACUUUUUAAAUCCAUAUCCACCUUGUGUGCAAUGUCGGUCGAUCUUCUUUUUUUGAGGAUCAACCAAACAUCAACCUUUAUUUUUUAACUCUUUGUCUGAAAAAUAUUAUGAAUAAACAAUUCAAAAUA
rnacentral:misc_RNA from 1 species